GAUGAACGCUGGCGGCGUGCCUAAUACAUGCAAGUCGAGCGAACAGAUGAGGAGCUUGCUCCUCUGACGUUAGCGGCGGACGGGUGAGUAACACGUGGAUAACCUACCUAGAAGACUGGGAUAACUUCGGGAAACCGGAGCUAAUACCGGAUAAUAUAUUGAACCGCAUGGUUCAAUAGUGAAAGACGGUUUUGCUGUCACUUAUAGAUGGAUCCGCGCCGCAUUAGCUAGUUGGUAAGGUAACGGCUUACCAAGGCAACGAUGCGUAGCCGACCUGAGAGGGUGAUCGGCCACACUGGAACUGAGACACGGUCCAGACUCCUACGGGAGGCAGCAGUAGGGAAUCUUCCGCAAUGGGCGAAAGCCUGACGGAGCAACGCCGCGUGAGUGAUGAAGGUCUUCGGAUCGUAAAACUCUGUUAUUAGGGAAGAACAAAUGUGUAAGUAACUAUGCACGUCUUGACGGUACCUAAUCAGAAAGCCACGGCUAACUACGUG
rnacentral:rRNA from 1 species